ACUUUCUUCUCUCAGGGAGAAAAGGAGUUUGUAGAAGCCCCCAGAAUGUGGCCAGGCUGAUUGAUAAAGGAUUCCUUAUCACAAGACCAAUGCUUCUCUCUGCCUUGAUCAGCGAAGCCUCUUUCCAGUGAACAGUUGUGAAUACAGAGAUUCAUGGCUGCAAAAUUGCUGAGAACAAAUAAUGGAAGAAGCAGGGGAAGAAUGCAAGAACCCAAAGGUAAAUAAAGCUGACUAAGCCAAAUGGGAGAAGACUCACAAAAGUAAAAUCACAAGUGAAAGAAGAGUUGCUACAAUUGAUGCCACAAAAUAAAGAGGAACAUAAGAGACAACUAUGGAAAAGAGACCUGAUAACAGUCAGCACUAAGUAGACUUGGGGUUUUAAAGGGGACACGGGGAGAAUGAAUGAAGCUGGAAUGAAAAAGUGGUGGGGGAUGGGGAGAAAUUGGAGGGGAGGAAAUAGGGGAUAGUUUGAUCAAAACACAUACACCUAUGGAAUUCUCAAUUAAAAAUAAAAGAAGUUUAAAAAAGGCAUUCUCAAUUCCCUUCAUUUAGUUGUCAAGUCAUGCUCCAGUUUACAUACUAGGAAGUUCUGAACAUCUGCUCUGUGUAGGUGUGUUAGGUGCUGGCAAGAUAAAGACCAAUAAAACACAGCUCUUGACUUUCACAAACAUGUCCAACAGGAUGAAAAGACACAGCUUGAUAAUUUCAACACACUGUGUAAAUUGUAAAAAUUUCCCCUCCUCUCUUUUCCCAACAAUGUACACUGCCUAUUUCAGGUUAAAACACAUCAUUCCUAAGGUGCUAGGGUUGUAACCCUUCAAUAUUAUACAGAUGAACAAUACAGUGGAUCAAUGAGUUGACUACCACAUUCAAGCCUAGUAAUACUGCUUGAACAGUCCGCUUCUCUAAACUCCAACUAGAGUCCUACUGCUCCAGCUGUCUACUUUAUGACCUCCAACAGGAAUAGACUCCCCCCUGUUCUGUUGUCAGCUGUUUGGCAUCUGAACAAGCCCUCUAUCAGGAAUAACCCUGAGCUACUCCUGGCUUAUGGAACUGAG